rnacentral:lncRNA from 1 species
AAACCAUUAACUUGAUCACCUUUGGCAAUUACAGAAGCUCUUAUUGUCACCUUCAUCAAUACAUUCUCAACCUUUGUUGAAUAUAUCAUAAGGUUAAAAGCAUUUAUAUGGAAAUCAGAUUCCUUUUCAGUUUUGGAACAUACCUCCUUCUUUGUAGCAACAUUGUGUGAUUUUCUUCCUCCUUCCUAUCCUCCAUUGUUCUUUUCUCUUCUAGACAUUGUCUCGUUUUCUUCUUCUUCCUUGCAAAUCGUGGUUUUCACCA